GAUGAACGCUGGCGGCGUGCCUAAUACAUGCAAGUCGAGCGAACAGACGAGGAGCUUGCUCCUCUGACGUUAGCGGCGGACGGGUGAGUAACACGUGGAUAACCUACCUAUAAGACUGGGAUAACUUCGGGACACCGGAGCUAAUACCGGAUAAUAUAUUGAACCGCAUGGUUCAAUAGUGAAAGACGGUUUUGCUGUCACUUAUAGAUGGAUCCGCGCCGCAUUAGCUAGUUGGUAAGGUAACGGCUUACCAAGGCAACGAUGCGUAGCCGACCUGAGAGGGUGGUCGGCCACACUGGAGCUGAGCCACGGUCCAGGCUCCUGCGGUAGGCAGCAGUAGGGAAUCUUCCGCAGUGGGCGAAAGCCUGACGGAGCAACGCCGCGUGAGUGAUGAAGGUCUUCGGAUCGUAAAACUCUGUUAUUAGGUAAGAACAAAUGUGUAAGUAACUAUGCACGUCUUGACGGUACCUAAUCAGAAAGCCACGGCUAACUACGUG
rnacentral:rRNA from 1 species